rnacentral:rRNA from 1 species
ACGGAGGGGGUUAGCGUUGUUCGGAAUUACUGGGCGUAAAGCGCACGUAGGCGGAUAUUUAAGUCAGAGGUGAAAUCCCAGGGCUCAACCCUGGAACGGCCUUUGAUACUGGGUAUCUUGAGUUCGAGAGAGGUGAGUGGAAUUCCGAGUGUAGAGGUGAAAUUCGUAGAUAUUCGGAGGAACACCAGUGGCGAAGGCGGCUCACUGGCUCGAUACUGACGCUGAGGUGCGAAAGCGUGGGGAGCAAACAGG